rnacentral:rRNA from 1 species
UUGGGGAAUAUUGCACAAUGGGGGAAACCCUGAUGCAGCGACGCCGCGUGAGUGAAGAAGUAUUUCGGUACGUAAAGCUCUAUCAGCAAGGAAGAAAAUGACGGUACUUGACUAAGAAGCCCCGGCUAACUACGUGCCAGCAGCCGCGGUAAUACGUAGGGGGCAAGCGUUAUCCGGAUUUACUGGGUGUAAAGGGAGCGUAGACGGUAUGGUAAGUCAGAUGUGAAAGCCCGGGGCUCAACCCCGGGACUGCAUUUGAAACUAUCAGACUAGAGUGCAGGAGAGGUAAGUGGAAUUCCUAGUGUAGCGGUGAAAUGCGUAGAUAUUAGGAGGAACACCAGUGGCGAAGGCGGCUUACUGGACUGUAACUGACGUUGAGGCUCGAAAGCGUGGGGAGCAAACAGGAUUAGAAACCCGGGUAGUCC